UACGGAGGGUGCGAACGUUAUUCGGAAUCACUGGGCGUAAAGCGCGCGUAGGCGGUCUGUUAAGUGGGAUGUGAAAUCCCCGGGCUUAACCUGGGAAUUGCAUUUCAAACUGGCCGACUAGAGUACGGUAGAGGGAGGUAGAAUUUCCUGUGUAGCGGUGAAAUGCGUAGAUAUAGGAAGGAAUACCAGUGGCGAAGGCGGCCUCCUGGAUCGAUACUGACGCUGAGGCGCGAAAGCGUGGGGAGCAAACAGG
rnacentral:rRNA from 1 species